ensembl:lncRNA
UAAGUAACUCUUCAGGUAAAUCUGGAUUCCCAGCUUCAAGAAUGACAAGAGUGUACCUGGUUUCUUGACAAUCAGUAAGCUUUGGCUGACAAGAAAGACGUGCAAAGACAAGAUCCUCUCUUUAUUUUCAAAGAUGCCAAAACCCUCGGAUGUGAUGAGAACCAUGCCAGUAUACCAGCAACACCAGUAUGAAGUCUCCAGGUUCCUGACGACCAAGCCACUGGCUCUGGGGAUUUUGGAAAUAUUGCUAGCCUUAUUAGGACUCUGUUUGACAAUCUGGAAUGAGAUUUUUUCUCUUUUCUGGUCACCAAUCAGCUUCACUUUAACUGGAGUUAUUACAGUCUACGCAGCAAACACAUGUAAACCAUGUCUGGUCAAAUCCUCACAAAUGCUCAGCUUUUUAAAUGCAGCAGCUGCUGCUCUGUCUCUCCACUUUCACUUUUAUUACACUGGGGGUGUAUCCUGCUUUCUUCUUAUGGCCUGUGAUACUCUCAUCGUAAUCUUCUCUGUUACGGUUGCUUUAACCUCUUUUUCCUGUUGCUGCAGACCAAAGUCGAGACAUGUCGAGGUCAGUUGCAUGAACACAGAUUUGCCUGUCAACCAUAUUGUGCUAAUGGGCCAGCCGGACUCUUCUACAGUGUUACAGUCCGUUAGUUCAGUCAUGUACAUGCUGCCAGCAGCACAUGGCCUUGUCCCACCUGCGCCUCUGCCAAAUUACAGUCCAGUACCAACUCUUCCUCCACCACCCUACGACCAGGUCUCAGCUGCUCCUCCACCAAACUACGGUCCAGUCCCAAGUGCACCUCCACCAGCAUAUGAGAAUGAAGAUUUACAGGCCAGAAGAUGAACUAGAUCUCGGACACAAAUGGGGAUAUUUGAUGUUUACACAAUGGAUUAUAGCGAAUGGGAAUAUAUAUAUAUAUAUAUAUAUAUAUAUAUAUAUAUAUUACAAUUAAAUAAAUUAUUUUUGAAAAUCA